UACAGAGGUCCCAAGCGUUGUUCGGAUUCACUGGGCGUAAAGGGUGCGUAGGUGGUCAGGCAAGUCAGGUGUGAAAUCUCCGGGCUCAACCCGGAAAUGGCAUUCGAAACUACCUUGCUAGAGGGUUUGAGGGGGGACUGGAAUACUUGGUGUAGCAGUGAAAUGCGUAGAUAUCAAGUGGAACACCAGUGGCGAAGGCGAGUCCCUGGAAAACUCCUGACACUGAGGCACGAAAGCUAGGGGAGCAAACAGG
rnacentral:rRNA from 1 species